UAUCAUAAUCUAGAGAGAGAGAGAGAGAGAGAGAGAGAAUUGAUUCAAAGAAAAAGAAAGAUGGGUUAUUAGUUUCAAUCAAUAUUCUCUUCUAAGACCUCUUUCUCUCUCUCUCUCUCUCUCUUCUUUCACACCUUAUUAUAUAAUAGAUUAAUUCCUCCAUACUCUACUUCUUUCUUUGUCCCUCCUUCUCUUCUUCUUCUUCUAUGUCACCGCCUUCACAUAGAUAAUAAUUCUCUCUCUGACCCUUUAGGUUCACGCCCUUCCAACCUCGUCUCCGUCGUGUUUUGACGUCACCACUGCAUCUUCACAGGAAUUAAGUAUCCAAACAUCUCUUUCUCUCUCUACAUGAACCAUGGAAGGAAGUCAUCAUCAACUUCUAAGUGGUAACAUGAUGGUGGACACAGGUGAUCGGUUCCCUCAAUGGAGUCUCCAAGAGACAAAGGAGUUUCUGAUGAUCAGGGCAGAUCUAGAUCAAACCUUCAUGGAGACCAAACGCAACAAGCUUCUCUGGGAAAUCAUCUCUUCCAAGCUGAAGGAAAGGGGUUACAGUCGUAGCCCUGAGCAGUGCAAGUGCAAAUGGAAGAACCUAGUCACCCGUUAUAAAGGUUGCGAAACCAUGGAACCCGAAUCGGUGCGUCAACAAUUUCCAUUCUAUAAUGAGUUGCAGGCCAUCUUCACAGGUAGGAUGCAGAGGAUGUUAUGGUUGGAAGCAGAAGCUGCUGCUGCCGGCGGCGGUGGCAGUUCUAAAAAGAAAGGGGUGAGGUUAUCAUCGGACGACGAAGAUGAUAACGACGAAAGCGAUGAGGAUAAUAAGGGUGGUAGUAUUAAGAAGAAGAGGAAGGGAAAAGCUAUUAUUACUAGUAGUGGUGGUGGUGGUGGUGGUAAUACUAACAAUUUGCAAGAGAUAUUAGAUAACUUCAUGAGACAACAAAUACAAAUGGAGGUGCAAUGGAGAGAAGCUGUAGAGGCAAGGGAGGAAGAAAGGAGGUUGAAAGAGAUGGAAUGGAGACAAACCAUGGAAGCUUUGGAGAAAGAGAGGAUUAUGAUGGAUAGGAGAUGGAGGGAGCGAGAAGAACAAAGGCGGAUUCGAGAAGAAUCUAGGGCUGAGAAGAGAGAUGCUCUUAUCACAGCUCUUCUAAAUAAGCUAAGGCGUGAGGAGGACUUCUAGGUUUUUGUUUAUUUGGAAGGAGCAGUUAUUACAGUUACUAUCUCUUUGUUCAUUAAUUCCUUCUUUGUUUUCUAGAGAAAGAUGAGAGAGAGACUCUUGUGGAGCCUUGCAGGGAAUGUUCUUGUCAAAAAAAUUGGCCAGAUUCAUAUAGGGGGUUCCAGAAGAGGUAGUGGCAGACCUAAAAGGACUUUUGACAAAGUGUAAGGAAAGUUAUGCAAUUGGUAGGGUAGAUUCUAGUAUGAUCGCAGAUAGACCUCUAUGGAGGACAAAGACUCGAGUAGCUGACCCCUUGUAGGAGAUGUUCCUGAGAUGUUGUUCUAUUUUUAUUGCUUAAACGUAUCUCUUUUAUCUCUUUUAUCGUCUUCUACUUCCUCGUUGCACUUCUUUUAUCUUGUAUUUCUUUUCCUUGAUGAUUAUAUUGGAUCCAUGUAGCAGACCCCAUUUAGUUGGGAUAAUGUUAUGGUUGUUGUUGUUGAAUAUUCGUUCACUUGAAUAUAUUUUUGUUGAUGAAAAGCCAAAUUGAUUGAGGGCUUUAUAA